ACACAGUCAAAUGUGCACAGUAUUAGAAGUUUGCCAAGAGCACAUCCUUGUGUCUGCCAAGGAGUGUCUGUUAGAGGAAGAGUAUUCUAGCAGACGAUGUUCAGAGGAGAAAUGGACCACCCCAGGAGGCAGCAAACCCCUUGUCUCUGAGUUUCCUCAUUUGAGAAUGGGAAGAAAGAUACUGACCCACCUUGAAGAAUUUCCGUGAGGACCCAGUAAGAAGACGGGCUGAAAACAUUUCGAAAACCCUACGAAGACCAAAGUUGUCAUUUCAAGAAGGAAUUCAUUCAGCGGCAGAUAAGUCGCCCAGUUUCGAAUCUUGCUUCUACCUGUCUCCAGCUGCGUUCCAAGGAUGAAAUGGAGUAUUUUUUUUUUUUUGAGAAUUUGUUUUCCAUCUUUAAAAUGGGAGCAAAAGGAAUAUCCACCUCUUAACAUUUCUGCGAAGAUGGUGUGAAAUUGUGUUCAGUCCAAGAGGCAGCCUGCCACAUGAGGAAUGUUUCUGCGUCAUUUCCAAAACAGCUGUGGAAGAUGUCGCUCCGGGCCACCAGUGCGAAAGACCAUGAGAAAACGGCCCGAGCCCUUGAGGAAAGGCGCUCUUUCAUGGUGCAUUGGGGUUUGUGAUGUCAGAGCACAAGAGUUGUGUGGUUCACUUUUUGCUUUGGCUUUCC